rnacentral:tRNA from 13 species
CCCAAAACCAAAAGAGAGAAAACAAAAACAGAAAAAAAUAGCACUCUAAAAUUCUUGAAGUCAAAAUCCAAAAAGUUUGUUCUUUUCCUUCUCUUUCUCUUUCUCUUUCUCUUUCUCCUUCUUUU